UACGUAGGGUGCAAGCGUUGUCCGGAAUUAUUGGGCGUAAAGAGCUCGUAGGCGGUCUGUCGCGUCUGCUGUGAAAACUCAGGGCUUAACCCUGAGCUUGCAGUGGGUACGGGCAGACUAGAGUGCGGUAGGGGAGACUGGAAUUCCUGGUGUAGCGGUGAAAUGCGCAGAUAUCAGGAGGAACACCAGUGGCGAAGGCGGUUCUCUGGGCAUUACCUGACGCUGAGGAGCGAAAGUGUGGGGAGCGAACAGG
rnacentral:rRNA from 1 species